rnacentral:misc_RNA from 1 species
AAAGACCCAACUCGGAUUGAUGAUGCUUGAGUGAGUGAGCCAAAGUAAUUUGCCUGCUGCACUUUGUCCUUGGUUGCCCAUGAAAUUCCUUCUCGAUUGGCUAUAACCCCACCGGUGAGAGUAGAACCAUUGUUUCCUCCCCACCCCACAAGCAUAACCCCUAGUUUAGGGACAUGGGUAUCGGUCUUGAAUUCAUAUUUGAUAGUUUUAGGCUUGACAAUCCAUUGAUAAGUACCACUCCUGUUCUCAUGAACAAGCUCAGUGGUCUCAUAGUUGUACACAGAGUGAAUCUCGUCGUCUGUGUACUUAACAUUAGGGCUCUCAACCUUAAA